GGGCCAUUAGCUCAACUGGCAGAGCAACUGACUCUUAAUCAGUAGGUUCGCGGUUCGAUUCCGCGAUGGCCCACCA
rnacentral:tRNA from 1 species